rnacentral:rRNA from 1 species
UACGUAGGAGGCGAGCGUUGUCCGGAUUUAUUGGGCGUAAAGAGCGUGUAGGCGGCUAGGUAGGUCCGUUGUGAAAACUCGAGGCUCAACCUCGAGACGCCGGUGGAAACCAUCUAGCUAGAGUCCGGAAGAGGAGAGUGGAAUUCCUGGUGUAGCGGUGAAAUGCGCAGAUAUCAGGAAGAACACCCGUGGCGAAGGCGGCUCUCUGGGACGUGACUGACGCUGAGACGCGAAAGCGUGGGGAGCGAACAGG